AACGAACGCUGGCGGCAGGCUUAACACAUGCAAGUCGAGCGCCCCGCAAGGGGAGCGGCAGACGGGUGAGUAACGCGUGGGAAUCUACCCAUCUCUACGGAAUAACGCAUGGAAACGUGUGCUAAUACCGUAUACGUCCUUCGGGAGAAAGAUUUAUCGGAGAUGGAUGAGCCCGCGUUGGAUUAGCUAGUUGGUGGGGUAAAGGCCUACCAAGGCGACGAUCCAUAGCUGGUCUGAGAGGAUGAUCAGCCACACUGGGACUGAGACACGGCCCACACUCCUACGGGAGGCAGCAGUGGGGAAUAUUGGACAAUGGGCGCAAGCUUGAUCCAGCCAUGCCGCGUGGGUGAUGAAGGCCCUAGGGUUGUAAAGCUCUUUCACCGGUGAAGAUAAUGACGGUAACCGGAGAAGAAGCCCCGGCUAACUUCGUGCCAGCCGCCGCAGUAAUAC
rnacentral:rRNA from 1 species